GGCUCAGAUGGUAAAGCAUCUGCCUACAAUGCAGGAGAACCAGGUUCAAUCCCUGG
rnacentral:tRNA from 1 species